UUGUACCUAUAAGAUUGAGCUGUGAUGGGGAAGCACUUUCGAGUGCGAAGUACCUGAUGUCACACUGCCAAGAAAAUCUUCUAGCGUUUAAUUAUAACCUACCCGUACCGCAAACCGACACAGGUAGUCGAGGCGAGUAGCCUCAGGUGAGCGAGAGAACUCUCGUUAAGGAACUCGGCAAAAUGACCCCGUAACUUCGGGAGAAGGGGUGCUCUACAUUUGUAGAGCCGCAGUGAAUAGGCCCAAGCGACUGUUUAUCAAAAACACAGCUCUCUGCUAAAUCGUAAGAUGAUGUAUAGGGGGUGACGCCGCCCGGUGCUGGAAGGUUAAGAGGAGUGCUUAGCGUAAGCCAAGGUAUGAAUUGAAGCCCCAGUAAACGGCGGCCGUAACAAUAACGGUCCUAAGGUAGCGAAAUUCCUUGUCGGGUAAGUUCCGACCCGCACGAAAGGCGUAACGAUUUGGGCACUGUCUCAACGAGAGACUCGGUGAAAUUUUAGUACCUGUGAAGAUGCAGGUUACCCGCGACAGGACGGAAAGACCCCAUGGAGCUUUACUGCAAGUUGAUAUUGAGUAUCAGUUGCACAUGUACAGGAUAGGUAGGAGCCAUUGAUCUGAGGACGCUAGUUUUCAGUGAGGCGAUGUUGGGAUACUACCCUUGUGUCAUGGCUACUCUAACCCGCAUGCCUAAUCGGCAUGGGAGACAGUGUCUGCUGGGCAGUUUGACUGGGGCGGUCGCCUCCUAAAGAGUAACGGAGGCGCUCAAAGUUUCCCUCAGCAUGGUUGGAAAUCAUGCGUAGAGUGUAAAGGUAUAAGGGAGAUUGACUGCGAGACUUACAAGUCGAGCAGGUACGAAAGUAGGACUUAGUGAUCCGGUGGUACCGCAUGGAAGGGCCAUCGCUCAACGGAUAAAAGCUACCCUGGGGAUAACAGGCUUAUCUCCCCCAAGAGUUCACAUCGACGGGGAGGUUUGGCACCUCGAUGUCGGCUCGUCGCAUCCUGGGGCUGUAGUCGGUCCCAAGGGUUGGGCUGUUCGCCCAUUAAAGCGGCACGCGAGCUGGGUUCAGAACGUCGUGGGACAGUUCGGUCCCUAUCCGUCGCGGGCGUAGGAAAUUUGAGAGGAUCUGCCCUUAGUACGAGAGGACCGGGGUGGACUUACCGCUGGUGUACCAGUUGUCUUGCCAAAGGCAUCGCUGGGUAGCUAUGUAGGGAACGGAUAAACGCUGAAAGCAUCUAAGUGUGAAACCAACCUCAAGAUGAGAUUUCCCAUUCUUUAUGAAUUAAGAGCCCUGAGAGAUGAUCAGGUAGAUAGGCUAGAAGUGGAAGGAC
rnacentral:rRNA from 1 species